rnacentral:rRNA from 1 species
GUGGGGAAUAUUGGACAAUGGGGGAAACCCUUAUCCAGCGACGCCGCGUGAGGGAAGAAGGUUUUCGGAUUGUAAACCUCUGUCAGUGGGGACGAUAAUGACGGUACCCACGGAGGAAGCCACGGCUAACUACGUGCCAGCAGCCGCGGUAAUACGUAGGUGGCAAGCGUUGUCCGGAAUUACUGGGUGUAAAGGGAGCGUAGGCGGGAUGUCAAGUCAGAAGUGAAAAUUAUGGGCUCAACUCAUAACCUGCUUUUGAAACUGAUAUUCUUGAGUGAAGUAGAGGCAAGCGGAAUUCCUAGUGUAGCGGUGAAAUGCGUAGAUAUUAGGAGGAACACCAGUGGCGAAGGCGGCUUGCUGGGCUUUUACUGACGCUGAGGCUCGAAAGCGUGGGGAGCAAACAGGAUUAGAAACCCGGGUAGUCC